UAUAUUUAUAUGAACUUGUGUUUCUCUUACAUAGAAUGUUGGAUCAUGAUCAAUAAAAUUACACUAUUUUGAAUAAUAAGUUCCAAAACAGCCAUCUAAUAAAUUUAAAAACUAACAGUAAAAUCCAAAUAGAUGGGUGAUUUUAGCUAAACUUUUAUAAGAUAACCAAAGCUCUAUAUGAACAAAAAUACACUAGGACUUGUUUUCUCUUACAUCAGAUGCAAUAUUUUUAUAGAGAUAUAUAUAUGGCUGUAAGUUAUUAUGACAGACAAACUGGCAAAAAUAUUGCACUCUGAACAGGCAUCCACUGAUCCACAUAAACAAAGACAAAGGUCCCCUAAUCCCUAUACACAUUUUAGCUUAUUACACUCUUUCCCAAUCCCCACUCAAUCAACCACUUGACUUCACAUACAUAAAACUCCACAAUUAAAGUAACCAAAUUUCUCAAACCCCCCAUCAACUUUUUUCCAUUACACCCAUAAUAAUUUGGA